CCAAUAGCGUAUAUUAAAGUUGUUGCAGUUAAAAAGCUCGUAGUUGAAUUUCGGGGUUAGUAGGUUGGUCAUGCCUCCGGUAUGUACUGGCCUCACUGAUUCCUCCUUCCUGAUGAACCGUAAUGCCAUUAAUUUGGUGUUGCGGGGAAUUUGGACUGUUACUUUGAAAAAAUUAGAGUGUUUAAAGCAAGCUAACGCUUGAAUACAUUAGCAUGGAAUAAUGAAAUAGGACGUUCGAUCCUAUUUUGUUGGUUUCUAGGAUUGACGUAAUGAUUAAUAGGGAUAGUUGGGGGCAUUAGUAUUCAAUUGUCAGAGGUGAAAUUCUUGGAUUUAUUGAAGACUAACUACUGCGAAAGCAUUUGCCAAGGAUGUUUUCAUUAAUCAAGAACGAAAGUUAGGGGAUCGAAGACGAUCAGAUACCGUCGUAGUCUUAACCAUAAACUAUGCCGACUAGGGAUCGGAUGAUGUUAAUUUUUUAAUGACUCAUUCGGCACCUUACG
rnacentral:rRNA from 1 species